AUCACUAAGCGGAGGAAAAGAAACUAACAAGGAUUCCCCCAGUAACGGCGAGUGAAGCGGGACGAGCCCAGCACCGAAUCCCCCGUCUGCCAGGCGGCGGGAACUGUGGUGUAUGAGACGCCAACUGUCGUCCGUCUCGGUCACCGAAGUCCUCCUGAUCGGGGCCUCUCCCAGAGCGGGUGUCAGGCCUUUACCGGUGACUGGUCGGUCGGCUGCGAACGUCUCCGGAGUCGAGUUGUUUGGGAAUGCAGCUCAAAGAGGGUGGUAAACUCCAUCUAAGGCUAAAUACAUGCACGAGUCCGAUAGCGGACAAGUACCGUGAGGGAAAGUUGAAAA
rnacentral:rRNA from 1 species